AUUGAACGCUGGCGGCAUGCUUUAUACAUGCAAGUCGAACGGUAACAGGGUGCUUGCACCGCUGACGAGUGGCGAACGGGUGAGUAAUGCGUCGGAACGUGCCGAGUAGUGGGGGAUAACGCAUCGAAAGGUGUGCUAAUACCGCAUACGUACUGAGGUAGAAAGUGGGGGACCUUCGGGCCUCACGCUAUUCGAGCGGCCGACGUCUGAUUAGCUAGUUGGUGAGGUAAAGGCUCACCAAGGCGACGAUCAGUAGCGGGUCUGAGAGGAUGAUCCGCCACACUGGGACUGAGACACGGCCCAGACUCCUACGGGAGGCAGCAGUGGGGAAUUUUGGACAAUGGGCGCAAGCCUGAUCCAGCCAUGCCGCGUGUCUGAAGAAGGCCUUCGGGUUGUAAAGGACUUUUGUCCGGGAGCAAAUACCCAGUGCUAAUAACGCUGGGGGCUGAGAGUACCGGAAGAAUAAGCACCGGCUAACUACGUGCCAGCCGCCGCAGUAA
rnacentral:rRNA from 1 species